AGGGCGGGACACGUGAUAUCCUGUCUGAAUAUGGGGGGACCAUCCUCCAAGGCUAAAUACUACUGACUGACCGAUAGUGAACCAGUACCGUGAGGGAAAGGCGAAAAGAACCCCUGUGAGGGGAGUGAAAUAGAACCUGAAACCGUGUACGUACAAGCAGUAGGAGCAGGCUUUGUCCUGUGACUGCGUACCUUUUGUAUAAUGGGUCAGCGACUUAUAUUCAGUGGCAAGGUUAACCAUCUAGGGGAGCCGUAGGGAAACCGAGUCUUAACUGGGCGUUCAGUCUCUGGAUAUAGACCCGAAACCAGGUGAUCUAGCCAUGGGCAGGUUGAAGGUUGAGUAACAUCAACUGGAGGACCGAACCGACUAAUGUUGAAAAAUUAGCGGAUGACUUGUGGCUAGGGGUGAAAGGCCAAUCAAACCUGGAGAUAGCUGGUUCUCCCCGAAAGCUAUUUAGGUAGCGCCUCGGACGAAUACUACUGGGGGUAGAGCACUGUUAAGGCUAGGGGGUCAUCCCGACUUACCAACCCUUUGCAAACUCCGAAUACCAGUAAGUACUAUCCGGGAGACACACGGCGGGUGCUAACGUCCGUCGUGGAGAGGGAAACAACCCAGACCGCCAGCUAAGGUCCCAAAUUACUACUAAGUGGGAAACGAUGUGGGAAGGCUCAGACAGCCAGGAUGUUGGCUUAGAAGCAGCCAUCAUUUAAAGAAAGCGUAAUAGCUCACUGGUCGAGUCGGCCUGCGCGGAAGAUGUAACGGGGCUAAGUAGUAAACCGAAGCUGCGGCAAUGUGCUUUUGCACAUUGGGUAGGGGAGCGUUCUGUAAGCGGUUGAAGGUGUGUGGUAACGCAUGCUGGACGUAUCAGAAGUGCGAAUGCUGACAUGAGUAACGAUAAAGGGGGUGAAAAACCUCCUCGCCGGAAGACCAAGGGUUCCUGUCCAACGUUAAUCGGGGCAGGGUAAGUCGACCCCUAAGGCGAGGCCGAAAGGCGUAGUCGAUGGGAAACGGGUUAAUAUUCCCGUACUUCUUACAAUUGCGAUGG
rnacentral:rRNA from 1 species